rnacentral:rRNA from 1 species
CCUACGGGCGACAGCAGUGGGGAAUAUUGCACAAUGGGGGAAACCCUGAUGCAGCGACGCCGCGUGAGUGAAGAAGUAUUUCGGUACGUAAAGCUCUGUCAGCAGGGAAGAAAAUGACGGUACCUGACUAAGAAGCCCCGGCUAACUACAUGCCAGCAGCCGCGGUAAUCCGUAGGGGGCAAGCGUUAUCCGGAUUUACUGGGUGUAAAGGGAGCGUAGACGGCAGCGCAAGUCUGGAGUGAAAUCCCAUGGCUUAACCAUGGAACUGCUUUGGAAACUGGGCAGCUAGAGUGCAGGAGAGGGAAGCGGAAUGCUGAGUGUAGCGGUGAAAUGCGUAGAUAUUAGGAGGAACACCAGGGGCGAAGGUGGCUUACUGGACUGUAACUGACGUUGAGGCUCGAAAGCGUGGGGAGCAAACAGGAUUAGAUACCCGAGUAGUC